UCUGAAUGUGAAUAUUUGUGGCCUUGGGGAUUGAGCCUAGAGUCUUGAGAAAAAAAUAAUAAUCUGAUCCAGAGAUAGAGGAUGACCGAGGGGUCAGCGAACCUUUAAUGGCCAAUGGAGAGUUGUGUAACAGACACACUGACCGUCCUUAUUCUAAUUCUGAAAGGGGAUCAACCAUAAAUACCAAAGAACUGUGAUUAAAUAGAUAGCAAAAUAAUGCUUCCAAAAGUACAGACCUUGUAUACUCGUAACCCCUAAAAUAGCCUAUAUUAAGGAAGCAGAAUAACUCUGUUCUUCCAACAGAGUUAUUACCGGUAUAUACAUUAUGGGAAAUAAGACGCUGGAGGAUACUACAACCUUCGCACUUUUCUUUUCAGAGCUGAUAAACAAUUACAGUUCACAUCGGGUGACCCAAGUCUCAACUCUUCAACUUGUAAGAUGAUAUCAGUUGCAUCUUCAAACGUGGAAAACCUUUCUGCGACAGAAACCAGUCUACCAAACAAAGAUGUGUUCAAGCGGUUAGCCAACCUGAGGUAGUGUGAUAAGAGGAAAAGAGAAGCAUGUGACCAGAGGAACCAAUGGGGUCAACAUGAUUCAGUUACCAUCUGAAAUGUACUCGAGGAGCUGUAUCUAGCAUUAAAACGUCUGAGUAACAGCAGUGAUAAGGAAACUGUCAAGUCAUUCUACCUUGAUAAGAGUUUGGAGACCGUUUAAUAGAUAAUUCAAACGGAUGCAUUGACGGAGACAUUGGUUAAAUAAAUUUCUCCUACAAAUUUUGGACAACAAAAGGCCAAGGGAACUAGAAAGUGUUUCCAAAAUACAAACAAUAUGAAGCAGAAACAAAAGGCUCAGAUAAAAAAAAUGUACAACGAGUGGGACAACCUAAGAAAAGGUUUGAACCGACUUUUAUUAACCCAAACAUAACUGACAAACUGAAAUAAAAUGGAAAGAGAACCGCACAGGUAUUGCUUGUAUAUUUUAUUUUCUAUGUACAGUACAUGUAAAAAAAAAAACGACAACGAAACAACUCAGAAUGGCCAAUAGCAUUGACCCAACGGCGGCAAUGUUAAACGGCCAUGUAGCUCACACACGUGAAUAUCCUGAUGACCGUUUUGCCUCUCUAUCAUACCGUAAGAGGGAUAACGGGUUAAGGGUGCAAGGAGGAGAGGGAUGGGGGGCGAGGCCCCCUGAGGCAAUGGGCAGCCCUGGGAAAAAAACCUAGCUAGCCAAGCCACUGGAACAGCACCACAGGACGGUCAGUCAGCUAGCGUUCACACAUCUCGUCCCCAUCUCCACUUGCUUAAAAAAAAUAAAAAAAUCCAAAAUAGAAUUAUCUCGGGAGGCGGGGCGUAAAGGGCCAACAGAAAUAAAGUAGGAAGGCUGGCUGAUUGUGUGCAAUAUUCAGUUUUUCCUUGUACUUCUGAAAGCCAGACUGCAUUGUGAGGGCUGUGCUAGGACCGGCCCUGCUCUCUGCCUCAACCAGUCAUCCACUCACCACCCCUCCCCCGCCACUCAUCAGUUCCAUGACUGUUGCUUUUAAGCCAAAGGUCACCGAAGGACAGCCUUUGCAGUCUUACCCCUUGCAGGGGCUCAAUAAGUACAGGCGGAAAUAAGCCAGUAUCGAGCACAUCCCCCCCCGACCAAUACAUCUCUCUCUCUCGCCCUCGCUCUGCACGCUAGGCAGUUGAAUUCACAGUAUUCCACAACAACAUGUUGUCCUAUAGGCAUUCAUCUAAAACUUUUAACGGGGGAUGCAUAGGGGGCUGUGACACAUUGCCUGUCCCGAGUUUCAAUCUCCCAACAGCACUGAGAAAAUUUACUUGGAGGAUUUUGUAGUGUGGGUGUACGUGUGUGUGUGUGUGUGUGUGCACGUGUGUGUGUGUACGUGUGUGUGUGUGUGUGUGUGUGUGUGCGCGUGUGUGUGUGUACGUGUGUGUGUGUGUGUGUGUACGUGUGUGUGUGUGUGUGUGUGUCAGACAGACAGACAGACGGGAGACACAAGAAGGAGAGACAUGCCACCCAAGUCUAGAAUACAGUGUACACAACCAACCGCCAACAGUUGUCUGGUCUACGAUCUACUAUCCCAUUAUUCAAAACAA